UACGUAGGUGGCGAGCGUUAUCCGGAAUGAUUGGGCGUAAAGGGUGCGUAGGCGGCCUGCUAAGUCUGGAGUGAAAGGUACCGGCUCAACCGGUACAGGCUCUGGAAACUGGCGGGCUAGAGAGCAGGAGAGGGCGGUGGAACUCCAUGUGUAGCGGUAAAAUGCGUAGAUAUAUGGAAGAACACCAGUGGCGAAGGCGGCCGCCUGGCCUGUUAACUGACGCUGAGGCACGAAAGCGUGGGGAGCAAAUAGGG
rnacentral:rRNA from 1 species